UCCGAAUGGAUGCCGCAGUACUACGCGGGUAACCAGCACCACGAAGUAACUGGGGAGGCAAAAUCCUCGAUAUGGGCGAGACUUGGGAUACUCAGAGUGACGUGCUAAACGAUCCUUGACUAGGCCAGAUUUACGGUGUGGACUUGGGAAAAUUGGAGGUGACCGCUAACAGGAAACGCUAACAAGACAUUGCUGAAGCCGGCAAAAAAUAAAAACUAAGAAACACAUUGUGAUCACGAGGCUAUUUUUGUUGAGCAACAAAUGCUACAGACUCCUGUAAAAUCAGAAUUUUAGUCUUCUUCAUCAUUACAAGCAAACGAUAUCGAGUAGAAGAGCAGAAGUAAAGACGAAGCGGCAAAACUUACGUCGCGACAAUA